rnacentral:rRNA from 1 species
AGACGUCUACAUUAGACUACCCCGGUAGUCCCAGCCGUAAACUAUGCGCGUUAGGUGUAUCGGUGACCACGAGUCACCGAGGUGCCGAAGGGAAACCGUGAAACGUGCCGCCUGGGAAGUACGGUCGCAAGGCUGAAACUUAAAGGAAUUGGCGGGGAGCACCACAACGGGUGGAGCCUGCGGUUUAAUUGGACUCAACGCCGGGAAGCUCACCGGAUAAGACAGCGGAAUGAUUGCCGGGCUGAAGACUCUGCAUGACUAGCUG